rnacentral:rRNA from 1 species
AUGGUUCGCUCCCACAUAAAGAGAUGGAUAUUCGAUGUGUUUAGCAUAGUGACACUUUUUUGGUGCCGAAACAUCCCCAAUCCCUUUGGUCAUUUCGCUUUUCGUGCCGGCCUGUAUUUGGAGUUUCUUGGAUUUGCAGUGAUGCCUUUCUCCUUCUUUUUGGUGACGUCGGAUGCCCGCCUUUGGCGCUUAGAAGUGGAUUCUCCUUCAAAGAGGGCUUUUCCCAAGAAAGGGACAUGGUUGUACUGGAUUUCUAGUCCUAUAGAGGAAUAGCAGAUAGGAUCACACCUACACGUAAGUUCGUUCGUUGGGUUAGUGGCCACCCGCACUCCAACCUAUCUAUAUGGCAACAAAGCGAAUGACAAGGCCAAAGUAGCUGACUCUUAUCGCUAA